rnacentral:rRNA from 1 species
UGGAGGGCAAGUCUGGUGCCAGCAGCCGCGGUAAUUCCAGCUCCAAUAGCGUAUAUUAAAGUUGUUGCAGUUAAAAAGCUCGUAGUUGAAUUUCGGGAUCAAUCUAUCGGUCGUGCAAUAGUACGUACUGAUUUUAUUGAUUCCUCCCUUCUGAUGAACUAUGAUGUCAUUAAUUUGGUGUCAUAGGGAAUCAGGACUGUUACUUUGAAAAAAUUAGAGUGUUUAAAGCAGGCUCACGCUUGAAUACAUUAGCAUGGAAUAACGAAAUAGGACGUUUGAUUCUAUUUUGUUGGUUUCUAGGAUCGACGUAAUGAUUAAUAGGGAUAGUUGGGGGCAUUAGUAUUCAAUUGUCAGAGGUGAAAUUCUUGGAUUUAUUGAAGACUAACUACUGCGAAAGCAUUUGCCAAGGAUGUUUUCAUUAAUCAAGAACGAAAGUUAGAGGAUCGAAGACGAUCAGAUACCGUCGUAGUCUUAACCAUAAACUAUGCCGACUAGGGGUCGGAUGAUGUUAAUUUUUUAAUGACUCAUUCGGCGCCUUACGGGAAACCAAAGUGUUUGGGUUC